rnacentral:rRNA from 1 species
UAGGGAAUCUUCGGCAAUGGGGGGAACCCUGACCGAGCAACGCCGCGUGAGUGAAGAAGGUUUUCGGAUCGUAAAGCUCUGUUGUUAAGGAAGAACGAGAGUGAGAAUGGAAAGUUCAUGCUGUGACGGUACUUAACCAGAAAGGGACGGCUAACUACGUGCCAGCAGCCGCGGUAAUACGUAGGUCCCGAGCGUUGUCCGGAUUUAUUGGGCGUAAAGCGAGCGCAGGCGGUUAGAAAAGUCUGAAGUGAAAGGCAGUGGCUCAACCAUUGUAGGCUUUGGAAACUGUUUAACUUGAGUGCAGAAGGGGAGAGUGGAAUUCCAUGUGUAGCGGUGAAAUGCGUAGAUAUAUGGAGGAACACCGGUGGCGAAAGCGGCUCUCUGGUCUGUAACUGACGCUGAGGCUCGAAAGCGUGGGGAGCGAACAGG